rnacentral:rRNA from 1 species
AUACGGAGGAUCCGAGCGUUAUCCGGAUUUAUUGGGUUUAAAGGGAGCGUAGGCGGACUAUUAAGUCAGCUGUGAAAGUUUGCGGCUCAACCGUAAAAUUGCAGUUGAUACUGGUCGUCUUGAGUGCAGUAGAGGUAGGCGGAAUUCGUGGUGUAGCGGUGAAAUGCUUAGAUAUCACGAAGAACUCCGAUUGCGAAGGCAGCUUACUGGACUGUAACUGACGCUGAUGCUCGAAAGUGUGGGUAUCAAACAGGAUUAGAUACCCUGGUAGUCCACACAGUAAACGAUGAAUACUCGCUGUUUGCGAUAUACGGCAAGCGGCCGAGCGAAAGCAUUAAGUAUUCCACCUGGGGAGUACGCCGGCAACGGUGAAACUCAAAUGAAUUGACGGG